CCAGGCACCAAAUCGCGUAACAGGUGCCCUGGAAGGGACUGACACAGAUGGAUGAGCAAGUAAACUCCCGGGAUCCUGCCGCCGUGGGAGGAGCUGAAGCAGAGAUGCCCAACUUUCUGAUGGCCACUUGGCUCGCAGGGACACAGGCUGGUGAUCAGGAGGGACCAGCCACCAGGUCUCAGGCCAGCAUCACACCUUGGCCCACGGUUCUUGCAAAUGUAGCACUUAAUGAGGAGGAACGAAUGUGCAAUAGAAUUGCAGAACUAUAA